rnacentral:piRNA from 1 species
UUCAAUAGUAGAUGGCAGGAUCCUGAGUG